GACGAACGCUGGCGGCGUGCCUAAUACAUGCAAGUUGAGCGCUGAAGGUUGGUACUUGUACCAACUGGAUGAGCAGCGAACGGGUGAGUAACGCGUGGUGAAUCUGCCUUUGAGCGGGGGACAACAUUUGGAAACGAAUUCUAAUACCGCAUAAAAACUUUAAACACAAGUUUUAAGUUUUAAAGAUGCAAUUGCAUCACUCAAAGAUGAUCCAGCGUUAUAUUAGCUAGGUGGUGGGGUAAAGGCUCACCAAGGCGAGGAUACAUAGCAGACCUGAGAGGGGGCUCGGCAGAAUUGGGAUGGGGAGACGGCCCAAAAUCCUACGGGAGGGAGCAGUAGGGAAUCUCCGGCGAUGGACGAAAGUCUGAACGAGCAACGCCGGGUGAAUGAAUAAGGGUUUAGGGUCGUAAAACUCUGUUGGUAGAGAAGAUUGUUGGUGAGUGUGGAAAGCGCAUCAAGUGACGGUAACUACACAGAAAGGGACGGCUAACUACGUG
rnacentral:rRNA from 1 species